UACGAAGGGGGCUAGCGUUGUUCGGAAUUACUGGGCGUAAAGGGCUCGUAGGCGGCCAACUAAGUCGGACGUGAAAUCCCUCGGCUUAACCGGGGAACUGCGUCCGAUACUGGAUGGCUUGAGUUCGGGAGAGGGAUGCGGAAUUCCAGGUGUAGCGGUGAAAUGCGUAGAUAUCUGGAGGAACACCGGUGGCGAAGGCGGCAUCCUGGACCGACACUGACGCUGAGGAGCGAAAGCCAGGGGAGCAAACGGGG
rnacentral:rRNA from 1 species